rnacentral:rRNA from 1 species
CCUACGGGAGGCAGCAGUGAGGAAUAUUGGUCAAUGGACGAGAGUCUGAACCAGCCAAGUAGCGUGAAGGAUGACUGCCCUAUGGGUUGUAAACUUCUUUUAUAAAGGAAUAAAACGAGGCACGUGUGCCUUUCUGCAUGUACUUUACGAAUAAGGAUCGGCUAACUCCGUGCCAGCAGCCGCGGUAAUACGGAGGAUCCGAGCGUUAUCCGGAUUUAUUGGGUUUAAAGGGUGCGUAGAUGGGUUGUUAAGUCAGUUGUGAAAGUUUGCGGCUUAACCGUAAAAUUGCAAUUGAUACUGGCAGUCUUGAGUACAGAUGAGGUAGGCGGAAUUCGUGGUGUAGCGGUGAAAUGCUUAGAUAUCACGCAGAACCCCGAUUGCGAAGGCAGCUUACUAAACUGUGACUGACAUUGAUGCUCGAAAGUGUGGGUAUCAAACAGGAUUAGAUACCCGAGUAGUC